rnacentral:rRNA from 1 species
UACGGGGGGAGCAAGCGUUGUUCGGAUUUACUGGGCGUAAAGGGCGCGUAGGCGGCCACCGCAAGUCGACUGUGAAAUCUCCGGGCUUAACCCGGAAAGGUCAGCCGAUACUGCGGGCUAGAGUGCAGAAGGGCAACUGGAAUUCGUCGGUGUAGCGGCGAAAUGCGUAGAUAUCGAGAGGAACACCUGCGGCGAAGGCGGG